GACGAACGCUGGCGGCGUGCCUAAUACAUGCAAGUAGAACGCACAGUUUAUACCGUAGCUUGCUACACCAUAGACUGUGAGUUGCGAACGGGUGAGUAACGCGUAGGUAACCUGCCUGGUAGCGGGGGAUAACUAUUGGAAACGAUAGCUAAUACCGCAUAAUAUUAAUUAUUGCAUGAUAAUUAAUUGAAAGGUGCAAUUGCACCACUACCAGAUGGACCUGCGUUGUAUUAGCUAGUAGGUGAGGUAACGGCUCACCUAGGCGACGAUACAUAGCCGACCUGAGAGGGUGAUCGGCCACACUGGGACUGAGACACGGCCCAGACUCCUACGGGAGGCAGCAGUAGGGAAUCUUCGGCAAUGGACGAAAGUCUGACCGAGCAACGCCGCGUGAGUGAAGAAGGUUUUCGGAUCGUAAAGCUGUGUUGUAAGAGAAGAACGGGUGUGAGAGUGGAAAGUUCACACUGUGACGGUAUCUUACCAGAAAGGGACGGCUAACUACGUG
rnacentral:rRNA from 1 species